UAUUAGGGUUUUCCAUUUUUUUUCCUAAUCUUUACAGGAAAAUGCCACGGGCACUAUCUGUGUGAAGACAUUUCACUGCAGCUAAUGUAGAAGGAAAAGCUGUGUACAUUUUGCAAAUACUGUGCCAAUCAUAUGUGAAGAGUGCAGAAUCUGGUCAAGUGCAUAAAGUUCCCUCAACUUCUAUACGAGGUGUAAAUGAUUCAUUGGACACCUUAUCGAUAGCAACAGCUUAUGGUCCUCCUGGAAUCAGAAGUGUUUUUGACACAAUAGAGGAAUGUAGUCAGAUAUGCUGAUUGUCUUGCUCGAGCUGUGUAUUGCAACUGGUUCACUGAUGCUCACAGGCAAUGUGUAUGGGAAGAGAUUUCUUAAUGUUCUUCACCCAGCAUACAUCCCUCCAACCAGACAUGCUUUUAUCUCAUUUGAUGGAGACAGAUUUCAAGUGAAGGUCAAGCAAAUCAGAGAUAGCAGACUAUUGCAAUCAUCUCUGAUGGGUGGUCGAAUGUUCAUGGGCAAAGGAUAAUUAACUACAUCUCUACCCUUCAACCAGUAUUCCACAAGAGCACAGACACAAGAGACAACAGACGCACCGGUCUCUACAUUGCAGAUGAGCUGAAGGCAGUCAUCAAUGACCUUGAACCACAGAAGGUAUUUGCAAUGGUGACAGACAAUGCUGUGAACGUGAAGGCUGCUUGGUCUAAAGUGGAGGAGUCCUACCCUCACAUCACACCCAUUGGCUGUGCUGCUGACAGGUGUGGCAUAUCAAGAAGCUGAUUAAGCAGCAUGAUCAUUAACAGUGCAGAUCAUUUGGCAGUACAACCACAGACUGUAACCACGCCAGCCCAGGACCUCCACAUCUGGCUUCUUCACCUGCAGGAUCCUCUUAGACAAGCCACCCGGACAGCCAAUGAAACUGAGGAUUAUUUCUGUCUGUAAUAUAGCCCUUUUGGCGGAAAAAAAACGAAUUCCGAUUGGCUGGGUCUGGCUCCCCAGCGGGUGGGCCUAUGUCCUCCCAGGCCCACCCAUUGCUGUGCCCCUUCCCAGUCAUGUGAAAUCCAUAGAUUAGAGCCUAAUGAAUGUAUUUCAAUUGACUGAUUUCCUUAUAUGAACUGUAACUCACAGAAAUUGUUGUAUGUUGUUUUUAUAUUUUUAUUCAGCAUAGUUAAUGAAUUUCUAUCUAGAAGACAUUGUUAUAAAUCUAAUGUUGUAUCGGCUGUUCUUGCUGUGGCGGAUGAAUCAGAAUUAGUUGGGUAACAGAUAAUUAAGAUGUUUUAGUUGCAUAAUAUGCUUGUGUGAGAAACAUCAUUAGAAUGCAUCCCUUUGGACUCUAGUGUUGGCAGUUGCACUUUUCCCUCAGCUAGGGCUCAGUCACUUGGGGCCCAGAGAGGGGAGAGGUCAGAAUGGAACAUUGUCUUCAUAUGUGAAUGUGUCUUUACCUAUUCUUAAACCAUGUGAAGGGAUGGCGUGAUUAAUGGGGAACCAAUUACUUGUCUCCACAAUGUCUGUGCGCAAGUCACUCCCCUCAGUGAGCUUGUCCAGGAGUGGGGUCAAGAGGGGGGUUUACUUGAGAUGGGAGUAUCUAGAGUUGACAAUUGAUAUAUGCCAUUGGAUGAGUUGCUGUUUUUGUACUAUGAAGUACCAGGAAUGAGAUUAGAACCUCGUCUUAGGGACCAAACUGAAUGAUAAUUUAUAGCGAAUGCUAUCUGGCUAUGGGAUACUCCUCAAGUAAAAGUCCUUCUUUGUGAACAGUUCCUAGAUAUCUGUGGUUUGUCAUGUCAAAGGGGGGUGGAUCUUUGCUAUUAAAAAAGAUCUCAGUAGCCAUUGUGUUGACACUCAACGGUUCAUUAGAAAUGGCGAAUCUUUGAAAGUCAAGUGCUAAUGCAGAGCUCUUAUUAUUAAAGAUGUAGUUUAAGUAUAA